CCGGCACGGGGAGUAGUGACGAAAAAUAACGAUACGGGACUCAUCCGAGGCCCCGUAAUCGGAAUGAGCACACUUUAAACCCUUUAACGAGUAUCCAUUGGAGGGCAAGUCUGGUGCCAGCAGCCGCGGUAAUUCCAGCUCCAAUAGCGUAUAUUAAAGUUGUUGCGGUUAAAAAGCUCGUAGUUGGAUUUGUGUCCCACGCUGUCGGUUCACCGUUNGUCGGUGUUUAACUGGCAUGCCCGUGCGGACGUCCUGCCGGUGGAUGCGGUCGACCGUGGGCCUCGGUCUGCGCGUCGGCGGUCCGAUGCAAUCCUACCGUGGUGCUCUUCACCGAGUGUCGAGGUAGGCCGGCACGUUUACUUUGAACAAAUUAGAGUGCUCAAAGCAGGCAGUGGUUCGCCUGAAUAUUGUGUGCAUGGAAUAAUGGAAUAGGACCUCGGUUCUAUUUUGUUGGUUUUCGGAACUUGAGGUAAUGAUUAAUAGGGACAGACGGGGGCAUUCGUAUUGCGACGUUAGAGGUGAAAUUCUUGGAUCGUCGCAAGACGAACCUAAGCGAAAGCAUUUGCCAUGGGUGUUUUCAUUAGUCAAGAACGAAAGUUAGAGGUUCGAAGGCGAUCAGAUACCGCCCUAGUUCUAACCAUAAACGAUGCCAGCUAGCGAUCCGCCGAAGUUCCUCCGAUGACUCGGCGGGCAGCUUCCGGGAAACCAAAGCUUUUGGGUUCCGGGGGAANUNNGGUUGCAAAGCUGAAACUUAAAGGAAUUGACGGAAGGGCACCACCAGGANUGGAGCCUGCGGCUUAAUUUGACUCAACACGGGAAACCUCACCAGGCCCGGACACCGGAAGGAUUGACAGAUUGAGAGCUCUUCUUGAUCGGUGGG
rnacentral:rRNA from 1 species